rnacentral:sRNA from 1 species
GUCGCUCAUUCAUCUCGAUAUGUCAGCGUCCUGAGGGAAGCUUAUUUACGCUCCAUAUCUUCCGAAUGAUGCCAAUGUACGGUGCCUACCGUCCAACGUAACCGUUAAUCGUUGCUCCGGCGGCGUUAACAAUCACAGGGCGACACGUUGAGUGAGGCACCCCCUAAUUUUUACCCUUUAAGGCACUUGACCCACGGGCGAGUGCCUUUUU